rnacentral:rRNA from 1 species
GACGGAGGGUGCUAGCGUUGUUCGGAAUCACUGGGCGUAAAGGGCGCGUAGGCGGCCUUGCAAGUCGGUUGGUGAAAGCCCGGGGCUCAACCCCGGAGGUGCGGCCGAGACUGCAGGGCUGGAGGCCGGAAGAGGAGGGUGGAAUACCCAGUGUAGAGGUGAAAUUCGUAGAUAUUGGGUGGAACACCAGUGGCGAAGGCGGCUCACUGGUCCAUUACUGACGCUGAGGUGCGAAAGCGUGGGGAGCAAACAGG